rnacentral:rRNA from 1 species
AUUGAACGCUGGCGGCAGGCCUAACACAUGCCAGUCGAGCGGAUGAAGGGAGCUUGCUCCUGGAUUCAGCGGCGGACGGGUGAGUAAUGCCUAUGAAUCUGCCUGGUCGUGGGGGAUAACGUCCGGAAACGGGCGCUAAUACCGCAUACGUCCUGAGGGAGAAAGUGGGGGAUCUUCGGACCUCACGCUAUCAGAUGAGCCUAGGUCGGAUUAGCUAGUUGGUGGGGUAAAGGCCUACCAAGGCGACGAUCCGUAACUGGUCUGAGAGGAUGAUCAGUCAGCUUGGCACAGAGGAACGGUAGAGACUCCUACGGGGGGCAGCAGUGGGGAAUACUGGGCGAUGGGGGAAAGCCUGAUCCAGCCAUGCCGCGUGUGUGAAGACGGUGUUAGGAUGGUAAAGCACUUUAAGUUGGGAGGAAGGGCAGUAAGUUAAUACGUUGCUGUUUUGACGUUACCAACAGAAUAAGCACCGGCUAACUUCGUG